GGAGAGAUGGCCGAGUGGUUGAAGGCGGCUGACUCGAAAUCAGUUGUACCCCCUUAUCGGGGUACCGGGGGUUCGAAUCCCUCUCUCUCCGCCA
rnacentral:tRNA from 2 species